UGCGACACACUGUACAUAAUGCAAAGUGUCAUUUAAUUCUCUGCAGUUCUGUUUUUGUUUUUUUUUUUUUCUUUCUGUUUUUUGCUCAGCGUUAAAUAACAUCAUUAUUAAAGUUCAUCAGAUGCAGGAGUGCAAAGCUAAAUGUACUAAAUGUCCUGUAAAUUGACUUCUAGAUGAUUAUUGCUUCAUUCUGUGUGUCGAGGACAGCUGGCGUCGUUUUGCUUUUUUUUAUGUACAGAGAUCUAAAGCUUUAUUUGCACUUCCACUGAAUUCUUGUUGUGCCUAUUGUACAGAUUUUCUGUAGAUUAUUUAUUCACAGGAUUACUUUUUUUCUUCUUUUUUCUUCUUGUUUUGUGAAACGCAGUAAUUGACAAUCAUAUGUUCUAUGGGUUUUGUUCAUUGACUGUAUUGUGUGUUUUAUUUCUUUUUUUGGUCAUAUGAUGGAUUAAGUACACUGUAAAAAAAAAUUAAAAAGAUAUAUAUGUAUCUGCA